CUGUCUCCUUUGGACGUUCUGGGCCGCACGCGCGCUACACUGACAGAGCCAACGAGUUUCUUCUUGUCCGAAAGGUCUGGGUAAUCUUGUUAAACUCUGUCGUGCUGGGAUAGAGCAUUGCAAUUAUUGCUCUUCAACGAGGAAUUCCUAGUAAGCGCAAGUCAUCAGCUUGCGCUGAUUACGUCCCUGCCCUUUGUACACACCGCCCGUCGCUACUACCGAUUGAAUGGCUAAGUGAGGCUAAGUGAGGCUUUGGACCGGCCCAGAGAGGGUGGGCAACACCUCCUCAGGGCUGGAAAUCAUACAAACUUGGUCAUUUAGAGGAAGCCUGC
rnacentral:rRNA from 1 species